rnacentral:misc_RNA from 1 species
AACGCACCUUGCGCUCCCGGCAGAUCUAAUCUGGGGAGCAUGCCUGUUUGAGGGCCGCGAAUUGUUUCGAACGACAACUUUUUUUCUUUUCUUUUUUUGAAGAGUUGGCGGAUCGGUAUUGAGGGUUUUGCCAUUCACCGUGGCUCCCUCGAAAUGCAUUAGCGCAUCCAUUUGAUAGGCAAGACGGACGAAAGCUCGAUUUUCGCUCUCUCUUCCCUGCCGGGUUUUGAUAAUAUCAGGACUUCGGAGAGGUUGAGAUGGGUAAGAGCUGGACGCAACGGCUUGCUGUUUGGAGUGCUUCUGAAACCCGCCCAUAUCGAGCUUUGCCUCGGAAGGGAUUUUAAUAAUUCAUCGGCCUCAGAUUGGUAGGACUACCCGCUGAACUUAA